GGGAGCGGGAGGGGGCGAGCCCCUCGGCGGCCGGGCCGGAAAGAAAUACAGAUGCAAAAGCAAGACCUGGAUAAAUGAGACAAGUAUUGUUCCUUCAAGCAGAACGUCCUGACUUCAAGACAGAAUACACGCCAUCAUCCCUUCGGCAAGCAGGAGGACGGGGUUCCCACGUUAGCAGCAGCAGCAGUUGGGAUUCCUAGAAAGACGCAGUGCCUUCGGGUGCCCAACCCAUCCCCGCGCCCUGCUGGGAUGCACGGCCAUUGCGGUGUGCAGGGAGAGUGAUCCCAAAACACAUCCAGCGCCACACCAACCUGCGAAUGGCGGUGGCACAUCUUCAAACCUCCCCGAAACCCAAGGCGGAAUUUCACCCUUUCCCACUUGUAUAGCUGCAAACAAACGCCGUGCUUGGCCUGAACGCGUCAGCGCGUGGGUUGUAGGGCCACACAGAGCCCCCGUUUCGUUGUGCUGCAGCAGCAGCCUGCUGCACCCCACAGCAUAUCUGCAUUUUCCUAUGGCAGGAAGGUGCAGCAGUGGGGCCACUGUAGCAAAAUGCCUCCACACCCUGCUCCAUCCACAGCCAAAUACGAAACACCAAUCCAAGAGUUUUCUUCAAGCUAUAAAAAUAAAGCAAAGUUGUUCCCAGGGAACAGAGAAAAAGUCAAUUCCACAGUCCCUGCACAGUUAUAAGCGCUCUCCAUAAGACUGAAUGCUUUUUUCUGCCUCGGAACAGCCCUCUCUGAUCCAGCAGAGCAAAGUUUGUUGAUAUUCGGGGUUGCAAACCCAUGUGUUUACUCAGGCUUUUGUCUGUCAGCAGAGUUUGAAGAGGUCGCUUUGAGAGAUCAAUAUUUUUUCCUGGGGGUUUCUUCAGAGCUACCACAAUUUGUUAUUGCGUCUGUUUAGAGGCUUUAAUUUGUGGUUUUCAAGAUUGCAUAACUGAGCAGAGAGGUGGUGAGAGGCCCACAUGAAGAGUUCAAAAUAAAUUUGACAAUAUAGUAAAUAUCUGCUCAGUAAUUUUCCCUGGUCUGAAUGCCACAGAAUGCCAACAGAGCCAUUAGUCAGGCUGGGUAUGAAGGUGCCUUUAUGGGAUCAGGGCACAUGUUUCCAUCCAGAUGGUACAGAACUGGAUUCACCUCACACGUCACUGACACCAACAGAGGACGUCCCUCUGGGGGCUCCCACCCGGGUGCCCAUUUAUAGGUUGCUCUAAAAGGCGUUGCUUUGAACCAGAUAUGGAAAAAUUAAAAUGAGACUUUAAUUUUGCCCUUUGCUCAGAGUUCUCAUAGUAAUUUACAUCAAAAUGAACCGAACCGCUCGCCUCCCAUAAGGCGGCCCAGGGGUUGAUUGUAUAUCAGUCCUGCAGACAUCAGCUGGGAGGUGUGGGGAUGCACACGGGGAUGCAUUCACUGCAGAUGGGAACUGUGGCCCCACAGGUCAUUGGGGGGCUGCAGGUGGAAGCCCAGCACUGACACCAUACAGAAAUGGGGUUCUCAGCACGGACGCUGCACGGCAUCCUCCAGCCAAGCAUCCCCGGCUCCGGGAGGAAGCACCUGUAAGCGUGGUGUCAGGGCACUGCGUGAAUGGGUGACGAGUUGGGGUUGGACUUGAUGAUCUUAGCAGUAUUUUCCAACCUUAAUGAUUCUACGAUUCUACGACUGCAGGAGCACAUGUACAUAGCAGAGGGCAGUGUUCAGCGCUUCGGACAGCUCUCACAGACAGUUCUGAGGAAGGUGGUGAAGAAGUGAUGUGCACGCUGCGGACUGGGAGCCCUGUGUCAGCAGAGCCGCAGGACCGGCAGGCUUUGCCUGGAACUGCGUCUAGAUCUGAGCCGGGACCCCCGGGGGGACAGCCGGGCAGGCGCGAGGCGAACAGCCCCGGGACGGGAUGGGACGGGACGGGCGCGCCCCGCGGACAGGCU
ensembl:lncRNA